rnacentral:tRNA from 1 species
GCGACCAUGGCGGAAUUGGUAGACGCGCUAGCUUGAGGGGCUAGUGCCCGAAAGGGCGUGCAGGUUCAAGUCCUGCUGGUCGCA